GAGGCUGCGGAAUCCCGAGUCCACGGAUGGGGCGGGGAGGGAGCGCUGCUGGGACACGAUGGGGUUAAGCUGGGUCGGCCGCCAUUUUGGAUGCCGCGCCGCCCCGCUGCGGGAAGGUGAGUCUCCGCACGCUGCGGGGGCCAACAACAACAAAAAAAAAAAUAAAUAAAGAAAAGCGGGGGCGGCAGGGAAGGAGGCGGGAGACGGGGAAACCUUCUGCCGCAGCCGCCGUCGUUGCGGCGGCGGGGAGCGGGCGUAGCGGCGCUCUGAGGGAGCGCUUCCGCCGAAGCCUGCGCCCCCUUCGGUUGUAACGGUCCCUGCGCGCGGCGUGCCGCCGUUGGGGGGGGGGGGGGGGGGGGGGUCUGGAGAAGGGCGGCGGCGGUUGGUGCCGUUGCCGAGCGCGCGGGUGGCGGCGGGGCGGGGCCGGGCGCGCUGCGGCGGAGCGGCGGGGGCUGCCCCCCCCCCCGCCCCUCAGCCGGGCCGCCCCUUCCCCUCCCCGCUCCCCCCCCCCGGGCCACCGGCCGCCCGCCCUUCUCCGUCAUGGAGGCUCGUUGCCUCCCUGCGACCCGGGGAGUGGAGGGCAGGCGUCUCCCGGUGGGGCUGAGGGAGCCGGCUCCCUGCUCCAGCCCCCGCGGGGGCGGGCGAGACAGCCCCUGGGAGACCGGCCGUAACUGGGAGGCAGCGGGCCCUGAGAGCGAGGUGCCUGCCUGCUCCCCGGCGUUCAUUUGGGUGAAAUUUACCAGGGGUUGGGUUUCUCUUCUUUGGCCCUUUAGGAGAGUUUAUUUUGCGUUUUCCGGCGCGCUCGUGCAGGUUUUCGUUUAAAAUGGUAACAAAAACCUUGAGUUGGGAUUCCCGUUGCAGUCUCUUUGUCUCGGAGCGGAGGAUUUGGGGCAAAAAAAACGACACCAAAUAUCGAAAGACUUGGCAGUGUGGAAGAUCAGCCUAUAAAAAGGCCAAAUAUUCUUACAUAUACUUAGAAUGAUAUUGUUACAUAUGCGUGCAAGACUGGAUGGUAUGAGACAAACGUACAAAUCUAUAAAAUCUGACAAAAGUCCAAUAUGUAAAACAUAUGUUUCGCAUUUUGCUUACAUAUGUUUUGGUUUUAGAUUUGAACAAAAGACAGGUCAGGCAGUUGCUACCCUUCAUUUUUUCAUUGUAAUGAACAGGAAGCUUGCCUGUCUACUCAAGGGUAACUGGUUUCCUACUCUUUCUUUGUAAGCUGUUUGUUUUCUCUAGCUCACAUCUGUUUUCCUCUUUAAAGUCAUUUUGAUGCAAACAAAAUAAAAAAAGUCAAACUACCUAGUCAUCAAGAAAUCUUGCGUCACAGAAGUAGUUGAAAUAGGGCUGAAACCCAAACUAUUUUCAUUGUAUCUAAAGAAUAACUGAGCUACAACUUUAAUUUUUUGACAGUUAUUUACAUUUGUAAGGCUAAUAUUUGGAAAACCUUUGGAACUGCGGGAAUACUCUUAAGCAUGCUUAAAUUUCACAGAAGCUAAUAAAUGAGUAGAAGGUUACUGGUGGAACAUGUUAACAAAUAGCAUCUCUAGCUCUUGUUAUUUGUGUUCUCUACUGUUGCUUAACUAAUGCAUUUCCCUCAUUUCCAUAGGAUUUUGGUAGGGACGUUGCUCUGUUCUUGCGUUACAGCAUUCUGUGCUCUGUUGUCUUUCUGUUCACAUGACAAUCUUAACUUCUUGAGCAUCGGAUCUUCCCAUCACUGUUCAUUUCAUUGACAGCUUAACGUCUUUGAACGCUGGCAGAUGUGCUCUGGUGUCCCUUCCUGAGUUUAAGAUACUAUGACAUCAGCAGUCCACUACUAUAUUCUGUUGUCAUAUACAUAAGCAGCAGAACAUGAUGUGUGUCUGCACCUCAGCUGGAUUAGUGCAUAAUCCGGGACACUGAUUUAAACUACUGGAGGAUUCUGGCUUCUUCUAAAUGAGUGUGUGAGGUGUAGGCACAAGUUCAUAUCUGGUAGUUCUGAAGAGAAAGCAAUUGCCCACAAUAAAAUAGUGUAGAUAGCUGGAAUAACUAACUUUAUAGAAGCAUAAAGCAGGAUUCACUAAGGCACGUCAUUCAGAGUCUUCUAUUUCAUUACAAAAAAUUUUACAUUAUUAAAUCAGAGAGAACCAUGCUUUGAAUUGGAAGAACUGUUGCAAACGGAAGGCAGUAGGACUGAGACAAGAACAGUUGAUACCUAACUGAGAGUCAGUUUCCUGUUCAUAUGAGGUAUUAAUUUGAUUUCUGAAAGUGGUGAAUGUUUCUGAAAAAAAAUUGAGUUUCCUCCAUGCAGACAUUUAUGUGGAACUCACAUGCUUUCUGAGCUGUACCUUUUCAGUUUCAGUUUCUUAGAGCACGCCUGUGCUUCCGUAUUCUUCUUGCAGUCAAGUCAAUAAGUUAGUCUGCAGAGUCACACCAAGGUAAGAAUAUAUUUUCAGGAAAGGUUUGAGUCAGCACUGUCAUGGGAGGUCCCCUGCCCUCCUCAUAUCAGUGCAAGCAUUUGAAUAGCUGCAUAACAACCUGGAUUUGGAAACUGAUCCAGGUAAAAGUGAUCCAACUAAAAAAUAUGGGUUAGUUUUAACUUAGAUUAGGUCCCUGAUCUGCCUCAUUAUGUAGGUAUGUGAAAGCAUGUGCUCACACAGUGGAGGAGGCAGUGCAGGGGCUGAGUUUGAGCAGCAGAAAGAAAGAGAACGCUUUUUUUCCAGCAGUUGGUUUGUGGUAGUUUAAGCUGAUCACUAGUUUAAGUUGCUGAAGUCUAAAAGUCAGAUUAACCGUUACAGUAGAUGACAGACACAAAGCCUAUUUCUGAAUUUCCUACAUUUCAGCUUGUGUGUCAGGGUUUGUUGUUAGCGCUUGUUUUAUUUGUUGCUCAUGGACAUAUGUGUAUGCAUCUACCAUAUGUACAUUUUCUUGUAGUGUAUGCACCUACUGUAUGUAAAUUUUCUUGUAAUUUGUUACCUGAAAAUGCUGCCAUCCUAGGAUGUCAAUAAUUGCAAAACGAAACAUCCUGGUGAGAGAGCACUACCACCCAAUUUCCCUGGUAUCUACAAACUCUGUAUGUACUCUUUCUAAGGUUUCAUCCCGUUUUCUGUUAUAAAGCGAGUCACCCCCUUUCUCUGUUCCUCCAGUUGCUAAGCAGCAGCUGUUCUCCCCAUUAGCUAGCCAUGCAUUUGCAUGAAAAUAAUCAAGCUUGAAUAUGUAACUGCUUCUAAUCAUGCACAGUUAAACAGCUGUACAAUAAAAAUGUAUUAGUUCUAUUAGUUAUCACCAUAACUGGUGACUGUCUUAAAAGUUAGAAUUUCUCUAUAGAGUAAAAUCAAUAUAGUUUUUUUUUUUUAACAAAAGGCACAUCAGUUUUUUCUUUCUCCUAAUCCAUUCUAUGUACCUUACUUAAAAAAAAUGGUCACAAAAUUAUAUCUGCAGUUCACAAAAAUGUAUAAAUGCAAAUAUGAAGACACAGUCAUCUAGCAACUAAACAUGAUGGGGGCAGGGAAAAGCCACAUUUUUCAAAUACUUUCCAAGUUAUUAUAGUAGCAGAAUGCAGCAGAAUUUGAUGAUAAAAGUUUAGACUAUAACACAAUGGUAAAAUUUUGAACAGUACAUCUUAACUGCAAAACUGAUGGGUAUCCUUGUUUGAAUUCCUGUUGAUUUCCAGGCUGUUCCGUUAUUUCUGAGCUCUAUGGUCUGAAAUCUUGGAGUGCUCUCUCAGUCUGGGGAUCUCCUGGAUUUAUCCAAACUGUAUUUCAGAAUGAGGGCUGAGUGUGGCCCACAUAUUCUCAGGCGUUGAUUUUUCAGGUGACAGAAACAUGGUUUCUGCAGAUAAAAAAUCCUGGGCACCCAUGGGUCAAGAGUAAUGUGUGGUCCACCCGGUUGGUAUCCUGACCUAGAGGGUCAGACUGUCUACAUUCCACAGGAAGUUUAUUUCCCAGUGUGCCCCACUAAGUGAAUCAAAAAGGUCUAAAUCUUCAGAUUAAAAUACUUGGUGCUACGCUGUGUAAUUUUGGACUGCCAAACCUGUGCAUACUUCGACACAUCUGAGAAUCCAUAGUCUCAUGUCAGGCUCUAAGGCUCCCUAAACACCCAGCGCAAGAAUAGGUCCUCCUGAUCCGCAAAAGUGAGUACACUGGAUGAGCAGCUGCCUAGAAAUGCUGAGGAAGUGUAAACUGAUUUUUCCCUUGCCCAAAGAAGUAAGGCUGAAGUCUUCUCUCAAGAUUCUCAGUUUGGAGUCUUCUCCUAGAGUUAGGUACCUAAGCAAGUACAGCCAUUAUCUGAUUUGGGAGAUAAAAACAACCAACCAAACAAACAGAAAAAAACCAAACCAACCAACCAAACAAACAAAAAAAAACCACAAGAAAAGCCAGCUCUUUCUUCCAAGCCCAGUAGAUCUGGGAUUUGAAAACAGAUCCGCAUUUCACGCAUGAGUGCCUUAACAGGAGGUUAAUGGAUGUACUAAUGCACCUGUGCAAAAUAUUAGGAAAGAUUAAUUUCUGAUGGUUUUUCAUGUUUUAAGAAUGGUUAUUAGACCGGACAUUGUAGGCAAGGUACGCAGGAGGAUUCCUCACGUGAGAGCCCUGACAAGCCUUGCUUAUACCGCAGGUAGUUAGGCCCACUUACGCCAGAAUUUGAGGCAACAUUACAGAUGCUCAUCGUACCAGUUGAAAGUCAAGCACUGUCUGGAUGUUAUCAGAUAAAAAUCUAAGGACAGCAUGUGAACAGCAAGGAAUUGAGCAACUUGUGGAUCGCAGACUAGUUUAAAGUGCCGCUUAGGCCGCUGAAUUCAUUUGUGGAGGUAACUGUGCUUUGAAAAUAAUACUCAACAUCCUGAUUUGUGUGCAAUUUUAAUUUUUUUUUUUUUUUUUUUUUUUUAAUUCUCAGUGAACAGACAGAGGCUCUGCAAUAGGCUCUGAAGUGUAAGGCAGUCAGGUUCUGUCAGAACCAGGGCAAUCGCAUGUAAUCAAUGGCCUUGCAGCAACAGUGUCUUGCCACUAGAAACCUGAUGGGAAAACUAACCUGGGUCUCAAUUAUGAAAAUACUAGAAGUGUCAAAGCAGUCUUUUAGCAAAGCCUAUUAAUAAAUCUAUCGGAGCAAGAGUGGUGCCGUGUGAUUGGAAAAUAACAAAUGUGCUUGAGGAGAGCCCAAGGAAGUGUUAGGUGCAACGGUUGCAGUAUACGGGACAUAGGAAACAAAUUCUAACAUAGGAUAAGUGAAGAUGUCGAAGUGAAAAAAAAACAUGAAAAAUCUUUAGUGAAGUAAAGGUAGAUUUUGUUGGGGUACCUGGGCAUUUUUUUGAUAAAAUAAUUUAUUGAGAAAGGAAACAAAGUAGAUCUAUUCUGUACUUCAUAAAAGGAUUCAGUAUAGUGCCAUAUGAGAAAUUAAGUAGAAGGCAUAACAUAAAGGAUUGCUAAGGGGAAAUGACAGUGAAUUGUGUUGAAAGAAGGACUGUAAAACUGGAAGUUGGCUACAGGUAGAGUUUACCCAUUUAAUGUCUUGAGCAUAGUCCUAUUUAGUAUAUAAAUAAAACUUGCUGCUAACCUUAAGUUUGGAGAACAGGCAAAUCAUAUAGGAGCAAUUGUGUGUUUUGGAUUGGAAUAAUAGAAAUGUCAUAACAUCUUGCAUAUGAAAGACAAGAUUUCGUACUUUAAAAUUGCUAAGAAUUUUCUGCUCUGAACGAGAACAUCAGAAAUGACAGAAGAUCUGGGAGUCUGAGUAGUAUGAAUCUACCCCCAUGACGGGUCCUAAAGGAGAAGUACAAUCCUAAGCUGCAUGAAGUCUUGCCAUUGCCUGGUAUCAGAAAAACCUACCAGUGAAUAUGUGUACAGGAAAUGCAUAAGUAUUUAAGGAAAUUAUAUAAACUGAAAUGUAAAAUUAAUAAAGAAUUACACAUGUAACAAUGUAGAACUAUACCACUUUUUUUUUUUUUUUUAAAUUGAGAAGGUGUGUUUAAUUGAGAAGCAGGAUAUGCACAAUGUAAGAAAAUGGUCAGUAAACAAUUUUAAUUCUAAA